rnacentral:misc_RNA from 1 species
GAGCAGGCAAAGCUGAUGUUGGCUGCAUAUAAAACUGAGUAGGAUUAGGCUUUGUGAAGGUAUAAAUUAUGGCUUUCUUGGUUGGGUUUAUGUCAUAGUAGCUAGGUUUUGCUAGGUUAUUAUUUAUUUCUGGGUUUGUGAUUUGGUGACUAUGAAACUUUAAUAUGAGCUGAUUCUAUAUCUUCAGCAAUCUCUUGCUGGAGAGUAUUUUCUAUUGCA